rnacentral:ncRNA from 1 species
GAGAGCCGUAUGAUGGGAAACUAUCACGUACGGUUCGGGAAAGGGAUAGUACGUUAAUAUGAAAUAAAAAUUCGGAGGGGCGUAUUAUUCUAGU